GGUAUUUGUAUUAUAAUUGAUGAGGUAAUGUGUUUACCUUAUUGCUUACUUAUUUUCUUAAUGUAAUAACUUGUAUUUUAGCCGUAAUCAUCUAUAUACCAGCAGGACCAUAGUUUAUUUACUAGAGAAGCCAUAUUUAUUUGUGUAUUGGCGGCCUAAUACACGAGAUUGCCUGUAAACAUAACAAGCGUUUUGAUUGGCCGAUCCAUUGACCGGAAAAUUAUAAAUAGAAGGUUGACAAAACGAACUUUAGAAUUAUUCUCAUCGUCUGCAAGAGCAGUCACAUUUCUUAUCUACGGAUAACUUAUAUUAGUAAACCUAAAUCAGAAUGUCUGAACCACAGUCAACCAUUAGUAUGGUACGCAGGUUUUAAUUGUUUUAAGAAAAACUUAAACCUUCUAGCACAUGGCUAUUGUUUGUUUUGCAAAAGUCAACCUUCGACCUACGGGAAAGUCCCGUCAACCAUCGUUCCCCUUAAUCAACCUUCUAUCGAUGCAAUAAUAUGAAAAGAGGUUUUCUGGAAACCUACUUUGUUUUAGGAAAUAAGAUAUAUGGAUAUUUUAUUAUAAACCAACUCUUUAAAGUAUUUCAUACUUUUGGAAAUAGAAGGUUGAAGUUCAACCUUCUAUAA
rnacentral:lncRNA from 1 species